rnacentral:rRNA from 1 species
CCGGCGCACGGGUGAGUAACGCGUAUGCAACUUGCCUAUCAGGAGGGGGACUAACCCGGCGAAAGUCGGACUAAUACCGCAUGAAGCAGGGGCCCCGCAUGGGGAUAUUUGCUAAAGAUUCAUCGCUGAUAGAUAGGCAUGCGUUCCAUUAGGCAGUUGGCGGGGUAACGGCCCACCAAACCGACGAUGGAUAGGGGUUCUGAGAGGAAGGUCCCCCACAUUGGUACUGAGACACGGACCAAACUCCUACGGGAGGCAGCAG